rnacentral:rRNA from 1 species
UACGAAGGGGGCUAGCGUUGUUCGGAAUUACUGGGCGUAAAGGGCGCGUAGGCGGCUUGCACAGUCAGGCGUGAAAUUCCUGGGCUCAACCUGGGGACUGCGCUUGAGACGUGUGGGCUUGAGUGGGGAAGAGGGUCGUGGAAUUCCCAGUGUAGAGGUGAAAUUCGUAGAUAUUGGGAAGAACACCGGUGGCGAAGGCGGCGACCUGGUCCUUGACUGACGCUGAGGCGCGAAAGCGUGGGGAGCAAACAGG